CGCAUAGUCAACACAUCAUUAUUAGCAAGUAACAAUAAUACAUGAUUCAUCGCAACACAAGAAAUCAUAUUAAGUUGGUAACCAGAGACUGAUUAUUAAUGGUAUUACUUUCAACAAAGUUCUCAUGAGAAGAGAGAAUGCCCACUGUUUUAAUAACAUCUUGGGGAAACUACAAAAGGGAAUCCAAAAGAACCAGAAAAUUAAGGGAAGCAGUUAAAUCUUGUACUUGGCUUUGGCUACCUCUCCUUCAUUUGGGAAGAAACCCAUGAGCCUGCCAGCUGAAUUCUGAUAAGCAUACAUGAAACCACCCAUUAGCCCAAUCAAACCUCCGGUAACCAUCGAUGGCCCUCUAAUCCCUGGCUUUAUUCCGGAGAGGUAUCCGACGGUGACAGAAAUCCCGGUGAUGGUGGUGAGCCGGAGGUAAUCGAGUGUGUUGAAAUUACCGACGGUUUUAGUAAACGGUGGGUUUCGAUCUACAACUGGAUACUCGGGCUUUGCCGAUGCUGUGAUAUCAGUAUUCAUCUUCCUUCUUAGCUGCUCUUCUUCUGGUCACUUGCCGGCGGCUGACGGUUUUAGUAAACGG
rnacentral:misc_RNA from 1 species